UUCUCUCAUUAUUGCUCAUAUUUGUUUAUGAUUUCCGAUUUGACAAUCUAGGUCUCACGAUAUUCCCUCUUUUUGUAUUUAUUGUUUAUCUUUAUAUGUCUAUGUAGAUUUAAAUGCGGUAGUAUUAUUUUCGUCUUGUUAACUUGAAACGCUUGUCAUCAGCGAGAACAAUCGGGAAGCAAAAUCGGAAGUAGCUACGGUCCAAGUAUUUUCGAAUGAUUUGAGAGAACAGAGAUAGAAAGAAACAUCUUGUGACCUCAAGUCAUUUCUUCGAAAAUCUAUUAGUCGUAAGCCUCGUAUAAGAAAUUUCGGAUUCCUAUUGUUUAUGUGACAACCAAAGAUUUUCAAUGAAUCACUCUACUUAGCCAGCUUCAACAAAUACAUAUAUAUAUCCAACAGGAACCUUGACUUCCGAUCACGGGAGACCAUUUCAUUUAUUAAACCUGUUGCAUAUCAGUCUCUCCAUUUUCAGCCUUCUACACUAUCAGUUGCAAAUAUUUUGAUGCAUGAACAAGGUGGCACUGCAAUAUAAUGGCCAAGUAUUCUUAAAUGACUUUAGGAGACAGGAACAUGAGAAUCGCAUUGAUGGCUUGGGAAACUGGCAGAGCUUUCGUCACACUCACAUAUCACCGGGAGUAAUAUAUUUGGGAUGCAGAAAACGGGGCUGAAUAACAACAUGUCGACGUACAACAAUGAUGAAACUGAGGCAAGGGGAAAAGAUUCUAUUGCACGCCCACUUGUACCAAGGAUGACGAGAAAGAUUAUCUUGCUAUUGGAUUAAUGUUAUGUAGGGUUGUGUUCUCCAUUGUCUCGCAGGAUAAAUAUUUAUGAACAACUAUAUUGUAUGAUGACUAUUGAUGACACCAAUUAUUAGACUUCGUGAAAUUAGUUAUUGGAUUCAAAUGGUGUAUUUUUUCUAUUAUGUUGGUUAUUCAAAAUUAUGGUUUAAU